UACGUAGGGCGCAAGCGUUGUCCGGAAUCAUUGGGCGUAAAGAGCGCGUAGGCGGCCCGAUAAGUCCGCUGUGAAAGUCCAGGGCUCAACCCUGGAAUGCCAGUGGAUACUGUCGGGCUAGAGUACGGAAGAGGCGAGUGGAAUUCCUGGUGUAGCGGUGGAAUGCGCAGAUAUCAGGAGGAACACCAAUAGCGAAGGCAGCUCGCUGGGACGUUACUGACGCUGAGGCGCGAAAGCGUGGGGAGCAAACAGG
rnacentral:rRNA from 1 species